GAGUUUGAUCCUGGCUCAGAUUGAACGCUGGCGGCAUGCCUUACACAUGCAAGUCGAACGGCAGCACGGGAGCUUGCUCCUGGUGGCGAGUGGCGAACGGGUGAGUAAUGCAUCGGAACGUAUCCUGGAGUGGGGGAUAACGUAGCGAAAGUUACGCUAAUACCGCAUAUUCUGUGAGCAGGAAAGCGGGGGACCUUCGGGCCUCGCGCUCUUGGAGCGGCCGAUGUCGGAUUAGCUAGUUGGUGAGGUAAAGGCUCACCAAGGCGACGAUCCGUAGCAGGUCUGAGAGGAUGAUCUGCCACACUGGAACUGAGACACGGUCCAGACUCCUACGGGAGGCAGCAGUGGGGAAUUUUGGACAAUGGGGGCAACCCUGAUCCAGCCAUGCCGCGUGAGUGAAGAAGGCCUC
rnacentral:rRNA from 6 species